ACGGGUGAGUAAUACAUCGGAACGUGCCCUGUAGUGGGGGAUAACUAGUCGAAAGAUUAGCUAAUACCGCAUACGACCUGAGGGUGAAAGUGGGGGACCGCAAGGCCUCAUGCUAUAGGAGCGGCCGAUGUCUGAUUAGCUAGUUGGUGAGGUAAAGGCUCACCAAGGCGACGAUCAGUAGCUGGUCUGAGAGGACGAUCAGCCACACUGGGACUGAGACACGGCCCAGACUCCUACGGGAGGCAGCAGUGGGGAAUUUUGGACAAUGGGGGCAACCCUGAUCCAGCAAUGCCGCGUGUGUGAAGAAGGCCUUCGGGUUGUAAAGCACUUUUGUCCGGAAAGAAAUCGCACUUACUAAUAUUAGGUGUGGAUGACGGUACCGGAAGAAUAAGGACCGGCUAACUACGUGCCAGCAGCCGCGGUAAUACGUAGGGUCCAAGCGUUAAUCGGAAUUACUGGGCGUAAAGCGUGCGCAGGCGGUUGUGCAAGACCGAUGUGAAAUCCCCGGGCUUAACCUGGGAAUUGCAUUGGUGACUGCACGGCUAGAGUGUGUCAGAGGGGGGUAGAAUUCC
rnacentral:rRNA from 1 species